CCUACGGGAGGCAGCAGUGAGGAAUAUUGGUCAAUGGGCGCGAGCCUGAACCAGCCAAGUAGCGUGAAGGAUGACGGCCCUACGGGUUGUAAACUGCUUUUAUAAAGGAAUAAAGGGAGGCACGUGUGCCUUUUUGUAUGUACUGUAUGAAUAAGGAUCGGCUAACUCCGUGCCAGCAGCCGCGGUAAUACGGAGGAUCCGAGCGUUAUCCGGAUUUAUUGGGUUUAACGGGGGCGUAGAUGGGUUGUUAAGUCAGUGGUGAAAGUGUGCGGCUCCACCGUAAAUUUGCCUUUGAUACUGGCAGUCUUGAGUACAGUUGCGGUAGGCGGACUUCGUGGUGUAGCGGU
rnacentral:rRNA from 1 species